AUGCAAAUAGGGCCUCGCUGUGCUGUUAAAAAAGAGACCAGCCCUGACCCUGCAGCUCUGCAGAGAGCCCAGCCCUGGGUGCCCAGAUCCUCCUACCACUUGGUGAUCAGGAUUGAACACAGGCAGCGCAACAUGGACCUUACCAUGUGUUGGGUUUUCCUGUUUGUAAUUUUGAAAGGUGUCCAGGCUGAGGAGCAGCUGGUGGAGUCCGGGGGAGGCUUGGUGGCACCUGAGGGGUCCCUAAAACUCUCCUGUUUGGCUUCGGGAUUCACCUUCAGUAACUACUCGAUGCACAGGGUCCGCCAGGCUCCAGGGAAGCGGCUGGAGUGGCUUGGGAAUAUUAACCAGGGUAGUACUACCACAAACUACGCACCCUCCGUGAAGGGCCGAUUCACCAUCUCCAGAGACAAUGGCAAGAACACGCUGUAUCUGGAAAUGCGCAGCCUGAGAACCGAGGACACGGCCGUGUAUUACUGUGCAAGAGACACAGUGAGGGGACCUCGGCAUUCGCCCAGACACAAACAUCCGUGCAGGGGAGCGCUACUCCAGCAGGGGUCACUGUGGUCCAUGGAGACCCAGGCAGGGCCCCAGGAGCAGGUGCAGAGAAGGCAGCAGAGGGGUGAGGGCUUCCUGUUGUCCUCUGGGGUUUCCCUUCCGUAUUAA